AAAAGUAGCUUAAAGAAAGCACUCGGCUUACAAUCGAACGAUAUUACAAUAAUCUUUUUGA
rnacentral:tRNA from 1 species